rnacentral:rRNA from 1 species
GACGAACGCUGGCGGCGUGCUUAACACAUGCAAGUCGAGCGGAAAGGCCACUUCGGUGGUACUCGAGCGGCGAACGGGUGAGUAACACGUGAGUAAUCUGCCCCUGGCUUUGGGAUAGCCACCGGAAACGGUGAUUAAUACCGGAUACGACCACUUCUCGCAUGGGAUGGUGGUGGAAAGUUUUUUCGGCCAGGGAUGUGCUCGCGGCCUAUCAGCUUGAUGGUGAGGUAAUGGCUCACCAUGGCUUCGACGGGUAGCCGGCCUGAGAGGGUGACCGGUCACACGGGGACUGAGACACGGCCCAGACUCCUACGGGAGGCAGCGGUGGGGAAUAUUGGACAAUGGGCGGAAGCCUGAUCCAGCAACGCCGCGUGAGGGAUGACGGCCUUCGGGUUGUAAACCUCUUUCAGCAGGGACGAAGCGCAAGUGACGGUACCUGCAGAAGAAGCACCGGCCAACUACGUGCCAGCAGCCGCCGUAA